rnacentral:rRNA from 1 species
UACGUAGGGUCCGAGCGUUGUCCGGAAUUAUUGGGCGUAAAGGGCGCGUAGGCGGCCUUCUAAGUCGAACGUGAAAUCCCCGGGCUCAACCCGGGAACUGCGUCCGAUACUGGAAGGCUUGAAUCCGGGAGAGGGACGCGGAAUUCCAGGUGUAGCGGUGAAAUGCGUAGAUAUCUGGAGGAACACCGGUGGCGAAGGCGGCAUUCUGGACUGCAACUGACACUGAUGAACGAAAGCCAGGGGAGCAAACGGG